GAAAUGCGAUAAGUAAUGUGAAUUGCAGAAUUCAGUGAAUCAUCGAAUCUUUGAACGCACAUUGCGCCCGCCAGUAUUCUGGCGGGCAUGCCUGUCCGAGCGUCAUUUCAACCAUCAAGCCCCCGGGCUUGUGUUGGGGACCUGCGGCUGCCCGCAGGCCCUGAAAACCAGUGGCGGGCUCGCCGUCACACCGAGCGUAGUAGCAAUCACCUCGCUCAGGGCGUGCUGCGGGUUCCGGCCGUUAAACAGCCUUACAAAACCCAAGGUUGACCUCGGAUCAGGUAGGAAGACCCGCUGAACUUAAGC
rnacentral:misc_RNA from 1 species